rnacentral:rRNA from 1 species
AGAGUUUGAUUCUGGCUCAGGAUGAACGCUGGCGGCGUGCCUAACACAUGCAAGUCGAACGAAGCACUUAGACAGAACCUUCGGGUGACGUAUUGGUGACUGAGUGGCGGACGGGUGAGUAACGCGUGGGUAACCUGCCCUGUACAGGGGGAUAACAGUUAGAAAUGACUGCUAAUACCGCAUAAGCGCACGAUGGUAGCAUUACCAGGUGUGAAAAAACUCCGGUGGUACAGGAUGGGCCCGCGCCUGAUUAGCUAGUUGGCGGGGUAAGAGCCCACCAAGGCGACGAUCAGUAGCCGGUCUGAGAGGAUGAACGGCCACAUUGGAACUGAGACACGGUCCAAACUCCUACGGGAGGCAGCAGUGGGGAAUAUUGCACAAUGGGGGGAACCCUGAUGCAGCCAACGCCGCGUGAGUGACGAAGUAUUUCGGUAUGUAAAGCUCUAUCAGCAGGGAAGAUAAUGACGGUACCUGACUAAGAAGCUCCGGCUAAAUACGUGCCAGCCGCUGC